rnacentral:rRNA from 1 species
AUUGAACGCUGGCGGCAGGCCUAACACAUGCAAGUCGAACGAGUGGCGGACGGGUGAGUAAUGUCUGGGAAACUGCCUGAUGGAGGGGGAUAACUACUGGAAACGGUAGCUAAUACCGCAUACCAUCGGAUGUGCCCAGAUGUGAUUAGCUAGUAUGUGGGGUAAAGGCUCACCUAGGCGACGAUCCCUAGCUGGUCUGAGAGGAUGACCAGCCACACUGGAAUUGAGCCACGGUCCAGACUCCUACGGUAGCCAGCAGUGGGGAAUAGUGCACAAUGGGCGCAAGCCUGAUGCAGCCAUGCCGCGUGUAUGAAGAAGGCCUUCGGGUUGUAAAGUACUUUCAGCGGGGAGGCGGUAACCGAAGAAGAAGCACCGGCUAACUCCGUGCCAGCCGCCGCGGUAAGAG